UAAGGAAUAUUGCUCAAUGGGAGAAAUCCUGAAGCAGCAACGCCGCGUGGAGGAUGAACGGUCUAUGACUUGUAAACUCCUGUAAAGAAGGAAAAAAUUCCCAUUUGAUGGGAGAUGAUGGUACUUCUGGAGUAAGCCCCGGCUAACUACGUGCCAGCAGCCGCGGUAAUACGUAGGGGGCAAGCGUUGUCCGGAUUUACUGGGUGUAAAGGGUGCUCAGGCGGAUUUGUAAGUCAGAGGUGAAAUCUUACAGCUUAACUGUGAAACUGCCUUUGAUACUGCAAGCCUAGAGUAUGGAAGAGAGUGAUGGAAUAUCUGGUGUAGCAGUGAAAUGCGUAGAUAUCAGAUAGAACACCAAUGGCGAAGGCAGUCACUUGGUCCAUUACUGACGCUAAAGCACGAAAGCGUGGGUAGCAAACA
rnacentral:rRNA from 1 species